CCUACGGGAGGCAGCAGUAAGGAAUAUUGGUCAAUGGACGAAAGUCUGAACCAGCCAUGCCGCGUGAGGGAUUAAGGCCCUCUGGGUUGUAAACUUCUUUUAUCUGGGACGAAAAAAGGGUAUUCUUACUCACUUGACGGUACCAGAGGAAUAAGCACCGGCUAACUCCGUGCCAGCAGCCGCGGUAAUACGGAGGGUGCAAGCGUUAUCCGGAUUUACUGGGUUUAAAGGGUGCGUAGGUGGGCUUGUAAGUCAGUGGUGAAAUCUCCGGGCUUAACCCGGAAACUGCCAUUGAUACUAUAGGUCUUGAAUUAUCUGGAGGUAAGCGGAAUAUGUCAUGUAGCGGUGAAAUGCUUAGAUAUGACAUAGAACACCAAUUGCGAAGGCAGCUUACUACGGAUAUAUUGACACUGAGGCACGAAAGCGUGGGGAUCAAACAGGAUUAGAUACCCUGGUAGUCCACGCCCUAAACGAUGGAUACUCGACAUCAGCGAUACACUGUUGGUGUNUGAGNGAAGANAUAGUAUCCACCNGAGUAGANCGCAGAUAGAACGACGAAGAAGUAGAGCGUGAGACGUGCCGACGGACGACGACGAGGGAGGAGG
rnacentral:rRNA from 1 species